rnacentral:rRNA from 1 species
GAUGAACGCUGGCGGCGUGCCUAAUACAUGCAAGUCGAGCGAACAGACGAGGAGCUUGCUCCUCUGACGUUAGCGGCGGACGGGUGAGUAACACGUGGAUAACCUACCUAUAAGACUGGGAUAACUUCGGGAAACCGGAGCUAAUACCGGAUAAUAUAUUGAACCGCAUGGUUCCAUAGUGAAAGACGGUUUUGCUGUCACUUAUAGAUGGACCCGCGCCGCAUUAGCUAGUUGGUAAGGUAACGGCUUACCAAGGCAACGAUGCGUAGCCGACCUGAGAGGGUGAUCGGCCACACUGGAAGUGAGACACGGUCCAGACACCUACGGGGAGCAGCAGUCGGGAAUCUUCCGGGAAGGGCGAAAGCCUGACGGAGCAACGUCGCGUGAGGGAUGAAGGUCUUCGGAUCGUAAAACUCUGUUAGUAGGGAAGAACAAAUGUGUAAGUAACUAUGCACGUCUUGACGGUACCUAAUCAGAAAGCCACGGCUAACUACGUG